GUCGAGAAUCUUUCACAAUGGGGGCAACCCUGAUGGAGCGACGCCGCGUGGAGGAUAAGGUCUUCGGAUUGUAAACUCCUGUCAUGCGUGAACAAGGUUGCUUGGUUAAUACCUGGGCAAAUUGAUGGUAACGCAAGAGGAAGAGACGGCUAACUCUGUGCCAGCAGCCGCGGUAAUACAGAGGUCUCAAGCGUUGUUCGGAAUCACUGGGCGCAAAGGGUGCGUAGGUGGCGUGGUAAGUCAGAUGUGAAAGCCCGGGGCUCAACCUCGGAACUGCAUCCGAUACUGCCAUGCUAGAGUACUGGAGAGGUGACUAGAAUUCUCGGUGUAGCAGUGAAAUGCGUAGAUAUCGAGAGGAAUACCAAAGGCGUAGGCAGGUCACUGGACAGUUACUGACACUGAGGCACGAAGGCCAGGGGAGCGAACGGGAUUAGAUACCCUGGUAGUCC
rnacentral:rRNA from 1 species